CCCAUACUAAAUUUCUCAGCCAAUACCGAUAGCCGAUUAUUCAGAGUGAUAUCGGCCGAUACCGAUAACCGAUACCAAUAGCCCUGCCUUUUAUGACUUCUUUUAAAUUAAUAAUAAUUAAUUCCACAGUUCUGAAAGAAAUGCAAAUAAAAACUUUAUUCUCUCCAUUUCAACAAGUUGUUUCACAGUAACUGGUCUCAUAAACAGAAAACACAUUACUCAAAUUAAAAUUAACACAUGAACUAAAUUCUGAAGAUUAAAGUAAGAUUUCUUAACUUUAACAUUGAAUGUUAUUAAUUCGUAUUAACAUUGACUGAAUUCUAAAAAAAAACCUCCUGUUAGUCUCAUAUUCACUCACCACAAACAAACACAUUUCUACUUCAUUAUUGACAUCAAACUGGUAAUAUAUAAUAUAAACUUUUUUAUAUAUUAACAUUAACUGGAUAUGAAAUACACUACUCUACAAAUAUAUUUUUCUGUGCAAUAUAUACUACUUUGUGUCAACUCAUCUUCAUUUAAAUCUUUCAACGGUGUACUGGCCCUUUAAUUCAGCGCAAGGGCAAGCGGGCAGCGCAGGGAAAAAAAAAGAAAAUUAGACUCGACGGCAAAACUCCCGCUUCACUACUGCAGCGUUCGGUGUAAAAUUUUAGCAGUGCAGAGCUUUCAGAAUUUACACACUGCAGUUUUUGCAUCAUUCCACACAAGAGACAUCAUCUUUACACACAGUACGAAAUUGAUAUGUUUUCCCACCUUCUUUUUAUUGACAGGAUAUAAUUGGCCCUGCAUCUGAUUUUUUUAUAUUAUUGCCUCAUGGCCAAUAGCGGGAAAAAUUGCCUUUAUCGGCUGAUACCGAUUAUCAGCCGAUACAUGUGUGCAUCUCAAAUAUAUAUAUAUAGCUAUGUAUAGUUCAGUCAAUAGCUAAUGGUCAAGCUGACAAAACAAUAUAGUUCAGUGGUAGCAAUAAUCAUCCAUCCAUCCAUCGAUUUUCUGUAACACUUAUGCUACACAGGGUUGUGGGGAGCCUGGAACCUAUCUCAGAGGACUCUGGGCACAAGGCAGGGGACACGCUGGACGGGGUGCCAACUCUUCACAGGGCACAAUCACACACACAUUCACACACUGUGGACAAUUUAGAGAUGCCAGUCAGCCUACUGUACAACGCAUGUCUUUGUACUAGGGAAGAAAACUUAUUAUGAAGCAAAAGCUGUGUGUGUGUGCUUGCUGGUUAACAUCUGAAUGCAGAGGAAAUAUAAAUUGCUUACAACCUGAUGUCUUGAUGCCCUGGAAAGAACAGCACCUCUCUUCAGCAAGCUUGGACAGCUGAAUAACAUUCUACAAUGUCCUAACACUAUCCACACCAUUCAUACAUGUCUGUCAAGUCAAUUAUUAUGAAGGAGCAGUAUACAGAAUGAGCUGUAAUACAUUAUGUAUCUUUGUUUUAGUCAGAAAUAGGACUAAGGCCAGUUUUCAGAUUGUGACACAAACUGCCAUAUGGACAUCAUUGUACCUGGUUGGUGGAAAGUAAAACAUGUUUUAACCCUUUCAGGCAGUACACUGAUGUUACAUUCCACCAGCAGAAUGGAAAUCAACUUAUCCGACAUUUUCAAUCAGUAUAAACAAAUGAAUUAUUUUAUCGCUACAAGUCUGUUAUAAUAUUAGUCAGGGCACUCUUGGGUUUCAGUGUGUAGAGUAUCAUGACUCUGUGUUUAGCUGCUGGGGAGCAGGGUGGUAGCAAAGGGGAGAAGUGUGAGCCCCCUGCUAGGUAAACAAUUCAUACCUCUCCACAAUAACAUUGUUACAGAGAUCAAAUGGACAGCACAACUAUAGCUUUUUUCGAGUUAAAUACUGUAUACAACUGCCACAACUAAAUUAUAAAAUUUAAACCUAGUAGGCUAGGUAAAAAAUAAAUGCUUGAAAAACUGCAAAUACUUAAAGCCUCAAGUGUCUACUUUCACAUGAGCCAUUAACCACUACUGUGGAGUGUGACAUCACAAAUAAAUUCAAUGCUGAAUGUGCGCCCCCAAAACAGGAGGAAGUCUGUCACUGUCUUCCAAUAACCAGACAGACAUGACGAACUGGCAUGUAUUACUCCCAAUCACACCUUUUUCUGGAGUUCAUGGUCACUGUGUUCUAUGAGACUUUUUCUACUUGCUUCUGCACAAGACUGAACAAACAAAACCAUCACCGUUCUCCUGAAUCCAGGGGCACCUUCACACCUUUAGUCAAAUUUACCAAGUUUGAAUUCAAGUGAAAUGUAUACUUUUCUUCAUUGGCUGUUUGUUUUGGUUUGGUUUCACAUUGCACAUGCAGCUGCAUCUCAAAAAAUUUGAAUAUCGUGGAAAAUUUCAUUUGUUUCCCAUAAUUUAAUUCAAAAGUGGAACUUUCGUAUGUUCUAGAUUCAUUACACAUAAAGUGAAUUAUUUCAAGCCUUUUUUGUUGUCAUUUUGAUGAUUACAGCUUACAGCUCAUGGAAAUCAAAAAUCCAGUAUCUCACAAUAUUUAUAAUACAAAAAUGUCGACCCGAGAAGAGCUCUAAUCGGCUAAUUAAAUCAAAACACCUGCAAAAGUUUCCUUAGCCUUCUAUCUCUCAGUCUGGUUCAGUACACACAACCACAAUCAUGGGGAAGAUGAAAGUAAAUUUUGUGUUUCAUUUGGAAAUCAAGGUCCCAGAGUCUGGAAGAAGAGUGGAGAGGCACAGAAUCCAAGUUGUUUGAAGUCCAGUGUGACAUUUCCACAGUCAGUGAUGUUUUGGUGUGCCAUGUCAUCUGCUGGUAUUGGUCCACUGUGUUUUCUCAAGUCGAGAGUCAAUGCAGCAUCUACCAGGAGAUUUUAGAGCAAUUCAUGCUUCCACCUGCUGACAAGCUUUAUGAUGAUGCUGAUUUCCAGCAGGACUUGGCACCUGCCCACAGUGCCAAAACUACUAGUAACUGGUUUGCUGACAAUGGUAUUACUGUGUUUCAUUGGCCAGCCAACUUGCCAGACCUGAACCCCAUAGAGAAUCUAUGAGAGACACCAGAACCAACAAUACAGAUGAGCUGAAGGCCGCUAUCAAAGCAACCUGGGCUUCCAUAACACCUCAGCAGUGUCACAGGCUGAUUGCCUCCAUGCCUCGCCGCAUUGAUGCAGUAAAUCAUGCAAAAGGAUUAAAGCCCUGACCAAGUAUUGAGUGCAUAAAUUAACAUAUUUUUUAUAAAGUUGACAUUUCUGUAUUAUAAAUUCUUUAUUAUAAUAUUUUGAGAUACUGGAUUUUUUUUAUUUCCAUGUGCUGUAAUCAUCAAGAUUAAAACCAAAAAAUUCUUCACUUUUGACAACCAAAAUAUUUCACUUUUGUCAUGAUUUCCCCUUGAGCCAGCGCUGCAACAUUGCAGUGUGCACAGAAAACCGAAGCGCAUGCGCAUGCACGAGCCAGAUGCGUGAGCGCUUAGCGAACGCAUGAUUUUCGGUUUUCAAUGACAGUGACUUUGUGUACUUUGGACAUGUGCUGUUGUUAUGAUUAUGUUCUGUCUCCGCCCCGUUUAGUCAUUGGUUGUUUUCCGGCGGUGUGUCAAUAUUGUUUUCAGCUGUCCGUGUUUACCCAUGAUUAUGUUGGUCAUUUAAACCCCUCGUGUCUCUGUACACUUUGUGCAGCAUUGAGUUUACCUCAUUAACAAGCUCUCGGCUCUCGGCUCUGACCUUGUUUCUCGUUUCCUCGUCCUAUUUAUUCCUGUUUGUAGAUCACCUGACCUUUUGCAUGUUAUUAGACCACGCUUUGGAUUACUGUUUUGGAUUUGUCUGCCCAUAUCUCCUUUUAAUAAAAACUCUUAUCUGCAUUUGCAUCCGUCCUUAACUCCAUUAAGUAAGUUCAUGACAACUUUGUGUAAUGAAUGUAGAAUAUGAAAGUUCCACUUUUUAUUUAAAUUACAGAAAAAAAUUAAUGUCUCCACAAUAUUCAAGUUUUUUGAGAUGCAACUGUAAUGAAAUGAACCCAAAAGCAAAAACACUUUGGCUGAGGGGUGUGUAGUCCUUCAAUUUAUUGGUUAGAAAUACUGUGACCAAAAAAGGGGUAAACAAUCCUUUGCCAAGUAAGCACAGAAAUUACAAAAUCACCUGGGCACAGAGAACAUGAAGCAGGCAAUAAAUAAAUGAUUAGAUACUUAUAUAAAUAUCCAUCCAUCCGUUUUCCAUAACACUUAUCUUACGCAGGGUUGCAUGGAGCCUAUACCAGGGAACUUGGGGCACAGGGAGGAGGACACCCUGGAAGGGGUGCCAGCCCAUCACAAAAAUUACACACUAUGGACAAUUUGGAAAUGCCAGUCUGCCUACAACACAUGUAUUUGGAAUAGUGAAGGAAACCGGAGUACCUGGAGGAAACCUUUGAAGCAUGGUCUCCAGUUCAGUAAUAUUCUUGCUUUAAUUUUUAAACUGGAGUAGUCAUAAGAUGCAUUUUCAGUUGAAUUUUGGGAAACCACUUGAAGCGUUCGUUGUGUUGAACUAUUUCAAUUGCUUUUGUUUGAUUUGUUUACUGCAAACAACUGAAAGUCUGUACAUUUUGACAAUAAACCUGAUUUGCAAUGGGGGUUGAAUAAUUUUGAUUGCAACUGUAUGCACCCUCAUAAAAUACACAAUCUUUCUCCACAUUAUAAUGGCUCCAUAUUACUUUUUUAUUUAUAGAAAAAGUAAAGAAGCUACUCAGUGAAAUACAUAUUCUGUUUAAAUUGGAAUAUUUUUAUGAUAAUACACAAACCAGUUGUAUGCAGUUUCAGGUGCAUAUUAUUGCAGGGUUUGACGGAAAGGUUUAUUUAAAGACCCAGUUAGGAAGUGUUGAUACAGCAGUCUUUACUUUUACUUUUUACUCGGUUUUUCAUCAACAUUGUAAAUGCCUGUUUUUUCCUCACUGCAUCACAAUAUUGUGAACAUACAAUAUUAACUGUUGCACAGAGUUGCUCAGUUACUUGUGUUACAUUUACAUGAUCUCUUUUGAAAAAGCCAGAUCCAUAAUGCUAUAACCUGUAAUGCUG
ensembl:lncRNA